rnacentral:lncRNA from 1 species
CUACAUUUACAGGACAAUUAACCACAUUUACAAAAUUGCACCGCCUCCCCACGAAGCCACUUCUACAGGCUCUCAGAACUCUGUCCCCGACAAAGACUAUUCCCGUUGUGGGAGGACCUCAGCUUUAAGAGGAGGACUGAGAGGCUGGAGCUCAGAGAGACAGACGGACCUUUGAAGCUGCAACAGCAGGUGGGGAAAGCCGGCAGGGCCUUCCGGAAAGCACGGAGAAGGGAAGCGGCUGGAUGCUCACACACUGCGAGGACUUCGCAGACCCAAACCAGAAUGUUCUCUGUGAUGUCAGCAAAACUGCCUUAUGGCCAAUUCGCUUUGUGGUAAAAAUGUUUGUGGCAAAGACGUCUGUGGUGAAGAUGCUUGAAGGGAAACUACUGAACAUGUGCCAUCGAUGGGGGUGGACAUCUCCCCACAAACCCGCAUCCUGGAAAUCGGCUCUGUCCCAUGACCCUCUGCCUCCAACUUCCUUUUCCGUAAAAGAAGACAGGUGGGGAGAGAGGGUCCCUGCUCAACCUAACAGCAGUGCAAGGUUUGUGGCAAAGAGACCUCCCUUCUACUGUCCACUGCACCCCCACCAAAGCCCUGUGAGAGGUCUCCACAGCGCAGUUUGAGGGUGCUGGUCUUGGUCCCCAGUGUCAGGGCUGCAGAGGGAGUAAGAGAGAUCUCGGGAGAACUUGACCUAUGACCCUUGGAGUUUCAGGGGCUACCUGACCAUUGGGGCUCGUCCCUACUUGUCCCCUGGAGAUUUCUGAAGUCAGGUGUUCAAGGAAGGGACCUGGAGGAGUGCCUUGGAGGAAGAGGACGAGAAGGGGGGCUGUUGCCUGUGGGUCUUCUGAGGAUAGGAAAAGGGGCCUCAGUGGCUCCCAUGGCUCCUUGGGGAGGAGCAUGGAGAUUAGGACACAUGGGCCCCGGGGCUGCCCAGGUGGCUGUGACUGUGGCUCAGUGAUGUCCUCUGAGGAGGAGUUGGGUUAUUGACUGCUGGUGGGGCCAAAGGAGCUGUUCUUAGCCAUGGAGGGAGCUGUGGUGACACUGGACACAGCCCCAAGGAAGCCGCGGGCACCAUCUGCCCAGGACAUAUUACAGCCACAGCCAGUGGCCAGUGAAACCAGAUGAAACCAGGGCAAAAUCAGGGACACCUCCCUACAGCCACAGGUGACCAAUCAUGAGAGAGGACACCUGCCAUCCCUCCCAUCCCCACUCCCUAACUUCUGUUUCCAGAAGAGAGAGGACAAGAGUGAGACAGGAGCUGGUGCCCCCCCAUCUUGGUCCAGGCAGCCUGUCUGCUCUGGGUUUAAAUCAGACAUACCCUGUGGGCUGGACCAGACUUCCAAUAACUGAGAGUGACCGGAGACCAGUGGGAUCCACUGAAGAUGUCAUUAGAGGACAGGGAAAGGUUUGGACAGGGCAUGGUUGAAGGCAGCGAUGGAAAAACAUAAAGCACUUUCAUGAUUAUAUGUCACCAAAUUGAGACUGCUUAAUAAGCUGUUUACCAACCAGCUGAAACGCCCUGGUAUAACCAUACCAAUUGUUCACAGGGGGCAUCUGUUCUGAUUGGUUGGUGCUGGGCCAGGAGAUAAAUAUUCUGAAUAUCAUCCCCAUAGUCAGGUAUAAUCACAAUGGCAGGAAACAUUCACCAAGACAGUUACAAUCAGAAAUGACCACAGGUAUAAUCAAACAAUCAUCAUUUUAGGAACAGCAAUAAUUAGACACAGACACAACUCUGGACAUGAAAAGUCACAGGAAGGACCCCAGAUAUGGUCAGCCUCAGAUAGUUGCGGCUCAGAGGCACAGGCUUGGACCCAGAGGUGCAAAGCAGAGAGGCACGGACCAGGGCACAGAUAGGGGCUUGGACAGGUGUGCAUAGACAGGUCCCACAGUCUCGGCAGAACAGUUGGAACAAAGCCUCAGGCACGGACACACACAGGCACAGACAGUCUCAGACACAGAAACCAAACACCCUAGACCUUCCCUGCCUGCGGCUUUUGGGAGCUGUAUUUCAGAGGGAGGAGUCUUUUUGUCUUCUGGGGAAUAACAAAGGAAACCCAGUGCUCUAAGUUCUCCCUGUUGUUCCUGGCUCCCUGGCUUCAUCUGUUCCGCAAGAGGCCAUGAUGUUCACUCCAGCAGGUAUGGCAUGGAGAUUUCAGAGACACGCGGUCAUGGAUGGGAGGCACUCUGUAUAGGGGCAGGGGGCAAGAUAAGAUGAGGAGAGGAUUUCCGUCUGUGGUUGUCAUCUCUGUCGGUUGUGCUCAUGCGUGUGUGAGCAGGCUCCCGGUGAGUGGGCAGUGGAGAGCUCUCAGACAGAAAGCCACCGUGCUCAAGUGGCCUUCUCUAAGGAUGCCCCAUCCUUCGCUUUGCCCAGUGUGGGAACAGUGUCCUGAAGUGAUGUCAGGGCUCACCCAGGCCACAUGUUUGUCAAUAGCAGUGUGUGGAGGAGUACUUUCAAUGAAGAUAUUAAUAGAGAUGAGCUGAGAAGAGCGUAGUAAGAAAGAUCUAGAAAUGGUUACCAGACAGGGAAUACAAGCAUGCAGUACAACAAAUGAUAACGUAUUGGGUUCUGUGACUAAUUUCUAAUUCCUUCUCACUUAGAUAAUAAUCUCUACUCUCUCUGGUCCAGCUAAGAUUCCUCAUUUCUCCUGGGCGUCUCCUGCUGUUCUCAUCUGAUCCGCUCUGGAUUUUCGAUUUUGGCCUGGAGAAAAUUCUGUUUUCCUGCUUCCGCACUUGCUCAGAAGUUCUUUGGGGACUAAACCUUUGUCUUUGUAUCGCUGAGGAGUUGCACAUCCUUGAGUCCCCUCCGCACAUGUCUGUGAUCUGCCCUCUGUGGAACCAGAUAACGGCCGCUCUGCCUGUUGGCUCGAUAUUGCAACACUUCACACCUGAAGGCUCUCUGUUCACUGGGUGAAUGAGCCCGUACAAAGAAGCUACUGAUUGAAGUCAAGUUUACAAUAUAUUCCUCCUUUGGCAGACAUGGUUAUUGUAGCAAUUCUUGUGUACACCAUGGAAUAUCUUCAUUAGCAUGAAACACUUGAAGGUGUCCAGUUCAACCAUUUCGCUUCCAGUGUCACCUGGACUGCACAUCCACUGGAGUUAUCUGUGGAUCUGUGACCCAAGCUUCUCAGAACCUCUGUUAUGUACCCUUAGGUCAUGCCAUGACGUGCAGUGAAAUGCAGAGAAACAUACGGAGAUUUCUGAUUUUCUGGUACAUUGGUCAAGUCCUUCAUCUGCUAGGGAUUCCCCGAGGACAUGUUUCUCCCUCCAAAGUGGUUCUGUAAGUCCAACUAUGCCCUUUGAACCCAGAGUUAUUCUAGGGAACGAGAGAAACAUUUAUGCAGGACAGAUGUUUCUGCGUGAUUCUGAAUGUCAGUGAGCUUGUGAAUGCCUAAAGGUGUGCCUGGGCUCUGUGAGGUAUCUCAGGCCUUUGAGGUUCUGCUUAGAGAGAAGAGAGUUUCUGUUCAUGGCCAAACCACCAAAGCCUUAUCACUAUGACCUGCAAACCAUGUCUGUGCAUUGGUAGCAUGACUGGGAGGUAUGCCUUGGACAGCAAAAAACUGGGACUACAAAAGCAUCCGGGUUACCUGUCCAUCUUUGGCAUCUGCUCCUCUACACCCUGUGUCUGGCACAGAGCAAGGCCAGGUAUGCAAGGUAGGAACUCAGUAAUGCUUGGAGAUCUUGCUUUCCCUCUGAAUCUCUUGUUAUGGUCUCAAUCUCCUUCUCUUCUUGGUUUCCGAGAUGCUCCCUUGAGAGGUGCCCCAGACUAUGCAACAUUAUUUAUUAUAUUGAUCAGCCAUAACAUCCCCCAAAGGCUCGAUGUAGAGGGAAGUGACUGGUCCUAAUAGCCCAAUUAAGUUUAUUAUCUUCUGGCUCCUGAUGUAAUGUGUCUGUCACAGACCGUGCAGCAAAGGCGAGGAGCCCGGUGUGGGGAAGGAGCCAGGAUGGGGAAUCUGGAGACAGGGUUGUGGCUCUAGCUCUGCCACCUGCUCACCACGUGACCUUGAGCAGGAUCUUCCUCUUCCUUAGUCUUGGUCUUCUAAUUUUAAAAACAAUAAAGAACAUGUAUUGAGCCA